UACGGAGGUUGCAAGCGUUGUUCGGAAUUACUGGGCGUAAAGCGCGUGCAGGCGGUUUGGUAAGUCGGGCGUGAAAGCCCCGGGCUUAACCCGGGAAGUGCGUUCGAAACUGCCGUUCUUGAGUAUGGGAGAGGAGAGUGGAAUUCCCAGUGUAGAGGUGAAAUUCGUAGAUAUUGGGAGGAACACCCGUGGCGAAGGCGACUCUCUGGACCAAUACUGACGCUGAGACGCGAAAGCGUGGGGAGCAAACAGG
rnacentral:rRNA from 1 species